rnacentral:rRNA from 1 species
UUACACAUGCAAGUCGAGCGGAAACGAUGAUAGCUUGCUAUCAGGCGUCGAGCGGCGGACGGGUGAGUAACGCGUAGGAAUCUACCUAGUAGUGGGGGACAACAGUUGGAAUCGACUGCUAAUACCGCAUACGCCCUACGGGGGAAAGCAGGGGAUCUUCGGACCUUGCGCUAUUAGAUGAGCCUGCGUGAGAUUAGCUAGUUGGUGGGGUAAUGGCCUACCAAGGCGACGAUCUCUAGCUGGUCUGAGAGGAUGAUCAGCCACACUGGGACUGAGACACGGCCCAGACUCCUACGGGAGGCAGCAGUGGGGAAUAUUGCACAAUGGGCGAAAGCCUGAUGCAGCCAUGCCGCGUGUGUGAAGAAGGCUCUAGGGUUGUAAAGCACUUUCAGAAGGGAGGAAAGGUUGUAAGUUAAUACCUUGCAACUGUGACGUUACCUUCAGAAGAAGCACCGGCUAACUCCAUGCCAGCAGCCGCGGUAUACGGAGGGUGCAAGCGUUAAUCGGAAUUACUGGGCGUAAAGCGCGCGUAGGUGGUUUGUUAAGCGGAAUGUGAAAGC